rnacentral:rRNA from 1 species
GGAUUCCCCUAGUAACUGCGAGUGAAGCGGGAAAAGCUCAAAUUUAAAAUCUGGCAGUCUUUGGCUGUCCGAGUUGUAAUCUAGAGAAGUGUUAUCCGCGCUGGACCGUGUACAAGUCUCCUGGAAUGGAGCGUCAUAGAGGGUGAGAAUCCCGUCUUUGACACGGACUACCAGGGCUUUGUGAUGCGCUCUCAAAGAGUCGAGUUGUUUGGGAAUGCAGCUCAAAAUGGGUGGUAAAUUCCAUCUAAAGCUAAAUAUUGGCGAGAGACCGAUAGCGAACAAGUACCGUGAGGGAAAGAUGAAAAGAACUUUGGAAAGAGAGUUAAACAGUACGUGAAAUUGCUGAAAGGGAAACGCUUGAAGUCAGUCGCGUCGUCCAGGGAUCAACCUUGCUUUUGCUUGGUGCACUUUCUGGUUGACGGGUCAGCAUCAAUUUUGACCAUUGGAAAAAGAUUAAGGGAAUGUGACAUCUUUGGAUGUGUUAUAGCCCUUGGUUGCAUACGAUGGUUGGGAUUGAGGAACUCAGCACGCCGCAAGGCCGGGUUUUUAACCACGUACGUGCUUAGGAUGCUGGCAUAAUGGCUUUAAUCGACCCGUCUUGAAACACGGACCAAGGAGUCUAACAUGCCUGCGAGUGUUUGGGUGGAAAACCCGAGCGCGUAAUGAAAGUGAAAGUUGAGAUCCCUGUCGUGGGGAGCAUCGACGCCCGGACCAGACCUUUUGUGACGGUUCCGCGGUAGAGCAUGUAUGUUGGGACCCGAAAGAUGGUGAACUAUGCCUGAAUAGGGUGAAGCCAGAGGAAACUCUGGUGGAGGCUCGUAGCGAUUCUGACGUGCAAAUCGAUCGUCAAAUUUGGGUAUAGGGGCGAAAGACUAAUCGA